rnacentral:lncRNA from 1 species
UAGCACUAAAUGCCCACACCAGAAAGCUGGAAAGAUCUCAAAUAGACACUCUAACAUCACAAUGAAAAGAACUAGAGAAACAAGAGCAAACAAAGUCAAAAGCUAGGAGGAGACAAGAAAUAACUAAGAUCAGAGCAGAACCGAAGGAGAUAGAGACAUGAAAAACCCUUCAAAAAUCAAUAAAUCCCAGAGCUGGUUCUUUGAAAAAAUUAACAAAAUAGAUACAACACUAGGUAGACUAAUAAAGUAGAACAGAGAAGAUGUAAAUAAACACAAUAAAAAUGAUGAAGGGGCUAUCACCACUGACCCCAUUGAAAUACAAACAACCAUCAGAGAAUACUAUAAACACCUCUAUGAAAAUAAACUAGAAAUUCAGAAGAAAUGGGCAAAUUCCUGGACACAUGCACCCUCCCAAGACUAAACCAGGAAGAAAUUGAAUCCCUGAAUUGACCAAUAAUGAGUUCUGAUAUUGAGGCAGUAAUAAAUAGUCUAGCAACAAUAACAACAACAAAAAAGCCAAGGACCAGACAGAUUUACAGCCAAAUUCUACCAGAGGUACAAAGAGGAGCUGGUACCAUUCUUUCUGAAACUAUUGUAAACAAUAGAAAAAGAGGGGAUCCUCCCUAACUCAUUUUAUGAGGCCAGCAUCAUCCUGAUACCAGACCUUGGCAAGACACAACAAAAAAAGAAAAUUUCAGGCCAAUAUCCAUGAUGAACCUUAAUGUGGAAAUCCUCAACAAAACACUGGCAAACCAAAUCCAGCAGAACAUCAAAAAGCUUAUUCACCAUGAUCAAACUGGCUUUGUCCCUGGGAUACAAGACUGGUUUAACAUACACAAAUCAAUAAAUGUAAUCCAUCACAUAAACAGAACCAAUGGCAAAAACCACAUGAUUAUCUCAAUAGAGGCAGAAAAGAGCAUCAAUAAAAUUCAACAUCCCUUCUUGUUAAAAUCAUUCAAUAUACUAGGUAUUUAUGGAACACCUCUCAAAAUAAUAACAGAUAUGUAUGACAAACCCACAGCCAAUAUCAUACUGAAUGGGCAAAAGUUGGAAGCAUUCCCUUUGAAAACCAGCACAAGACAAGGAGGCCCUUUUUCACCACUCCUAUUCAAUGUAGUAUAGGAAGUUCUGGUCAAGACAAUUGGGCAAGAGAAAGAAAUAAAGAGUAUUCAAAUAGGAAGAGAGGAAGUCAAAUUGUCUCUCUUUGCAGAUGACAUAAUCCUACAUUUAGAAAACCCCAUUGUCUCACCCCAAAAACAACUUAAACUAAUAAGGAAUGUUAGCAAAGUCUCAGGAUACAAAAUCAAUGUGCAAAAAUCACAAGCAUUUCUAUACACAAAAAAUAGACAAGCAGAGAGCCAAAUCGUAAAUGAACUCCCAUUCACAAUUGCUACAAAGAGAAUAAAAUACUUAGGAAUGCAGCUAACAAGGGACGUGAAGGACAUUUUCAAGGAGAACUACAAACCACUUCUCAAGGAAAUAAGAGGGGACACAAACAAAUGGGAAAGUAUUCCAGCCUCAUGGAUAGAAAGAAUCGAUAUUGCGAAAAUGGCCGUACUUCCCAAAAUAAUUUAUAGAAUAAAUACUGCUCCAAACUACUAUUGACAUUCUUCACAGCAGUAGAAAAAACUACUUUAAAAAUUACAUGGAACCAGAAAAAGCCCAUAUAAGCAAGACAAUUCUAAGCAAAAAGAACAAAACUAGAGGCAUCACGCUAUUUGACUUCAAACUAUACUACAAUAGAAAAAUGCAAAUGAAAACCACAAUUAGAUAUCAUCUCAUGCCAGACAGAAUGAUGAUUAUUAAAAAGGCAAGAAACAACAGAUGCUGGUGAGGCUGUGGAGAACUAAGAAUGCUUUUACACUCUUGGUGAGAAUGUAAAUUAGUUCACCCAUUGUGGAAGACAGUUUGGUGAUUUAUCAAGGAUCUAGAACCAGAAAUGCCAUUUGACCCAGCAAUGUCAUUACUUGGUAUAUGCCCAAAGGAAUAUAAAUCACUCUACAAUAAAGACACAUGCACCCAUUUGUUUAUUGUGGCACUAUUCACAAUAGCAAAGACAUGUAACCAACCCAAAUGCCCAUCAAUGAUAGACUGGAUAAAGAAAAUGUGUACAUAUACUGCAUAGAAUACUAUGCAGCCAUAAAAAGGAAUGAGUUCAUGUCCUUUGCAGGGACAUGGAUGAAGCUGAAAGCCAUUAUCCUCAGCAAACUAACACUGGAACAGAGAACCAAAUACUGUAUAUUCUCACUCAUAAGUGGGAGUUGAACAAUGAGAACACAUGGACACAAGGAGGGGAACAAUGCGAACCAGGGCCUGUCAGAGAGGGUCAAGGGGAGGCCGAACAUCAGGACAAAUAGUUAAUGCAUGCAGGGAUUAAAACCUAGAUAUCAGGUUGAUAGGUGCAGCAAAUCACCAUGGCACAUGUGUACCUAUGUAACAAACAUGCGUGCUCGGCACAUGUAUCCCAGAACUUAAAGAAAAUAAAUAAACAAAUAAAUAAAAUUUGUGCCCUUAAUCACCAUGAUAUCCUGGCUCUUGGGGCCACAACCCCACCUCUUCCACAUCUUCAUCUAGCAGCUCAUUUGGAUCCAUUUUUCUAACUAAAUCCUGUAAUUUCUUCCUGGUUGAAGUCUAAAGCAGGAGCAGAUUUUUCAGCCAAGUGUUAAGGAAACAAAAUAACUCAUUAUCUCAUAAUGAAGAAAGACUGUCAAAGUGUUAUGUUUUGUUUGUACUUCCUCAAGAGUUCCGUCUACCCUGGCUGAUAGUAUUGCCACAAGAUGACACUGUCAAGACAGAAGUGCCUGAGGAAAGGUAGAGACAACAAUUUAGGAAAAGAGGCCAGCCUGAAACCAUCUGAUAGUUUAUAUCUCAGCUUCAUGGCUUUUCUCUUAUUGUACCUCACCUUCCCCCUGCCACCAACCCACAUUCUGGCUGCAUUAAACAAUUUUCAGUUCUCUGACCACCACAAAUUUUGGUGCCUCUGGGGCCUUUGGAUGAGCUUGUUCUCCCUUCUUCCCACAUGCUUAGCUCAUGGCAUCUCCUUGAUGAUGCAUUUUCUGGCCCACCCAGGUAAAAAUGACCACUCCUCCUUUGGCAUCUACUCUAUCCUGUACAUUCUUCUAUCAACAGACUAUAACACUUUAUUGCACAUAUUUAUAAACUUGCAUGUUUCUGACUUAGCAAGCUACAGACUCCCUAACAGUAGAGAACAUUUGUUCAUCUCUCUGUCACUAAAUGUUUGUGUGUGUACAACUAUGAUCCUUCAUUCCUAAAGGAAAUGUCAUGCCACAUAUAUAUACCAUUAAAAAUGAUCAAACAAUGUGCUAACCAUGGUUUUCUUUGGGUGGCAGAAUUAUAUGAUAUUCAUUCUUUCUGUAUUUCUAGAGUUUCUGUGAUAAACACAUAUAACUUCGCAAACAAGAAGACCAAAAAAAAAACUGACAUUAAAGCAAAAGAUGAAUAAGCUUUACAAUAAAAAUUUAAAAAUAAAAGAACAGAUCAAUGCACCAUGAAAACCUUGCUAAACUGAUACAGGGGCCCAGAUGCUGGCCUUGCAUAAGUGUGCUUUUGAUGUUCCUGUUUAAUUUAUAGAAAAACUCUGAAGUAAUUUUAUCACUCAGUAUUGACCCUUAUAAUCUCACAUGCCCACAUCUUCCAUGAUAGUGCCUGGGCCUAGAGGGAUUGAGUAGUUUUAAUUUCUGGCCCUGUGUCUCUUGAGAACCAUUCAUUUUUUUUUCUUAUGUUGCCAACUAUUAUUUUAUUAUAAAUUAGAUAUUCUAAUAAUGGACACUAUUAACAUAUAAAUAAAAAUGUGACUUUAUAAAGUACCAAUAGAAAUACCAAUACAUAUGAGCUUGUCAAGGGGUCUUACUGAAUUAAGAAACUUUCUGCUCAAUAUAUAUUCUAUCAUAAAAAUAAGGAGACAUCCUUUGAGAAUGCACUGUUCAUUUUUUUAUACUUUAACCACAUUUAUUUAUUUAUUUAAUUUCUUUUUAUUAUACUUUAAGUUUUAGGGUACAUGUGCACAACGUGCAGGUUUCUUACAUAUGUAUACAUAUGCCAUGUUGGUGUGCUGCACCCAUUAACUUGUCAUUUACAUUAGGCAUAUCUCCUAAUGCUAUCCUUCCCCUUCCCCACACCCCACAACAGGCCCCGGUGUGUGAUGUUCCCCUCCUGUGUCCAUGUGUUCUCAUUGUUCAGUUCCCACCUAUAAGUGAGAACAUGCAGUGUUUGGUUUUUUGUCCUUGCGAUAGUUUGCUGAGAAUGAUGGUUU